rnacentral:rRNA from 1 species
GGCAGGCCUAACACAUGCAAGUCGAGGGGCAUCGGGAUUGAAGCUUGCUUCAAUUGCCGGCGACCGGCGCACGGGUGCGUAACGCGUAUGUAACCUACCUAUAACAGGGGCAUAACACUGAGAAAUUGGUACUAAUUCCCCAUAAUAUUCGGAGAGGCAUCUCUCCGGGUUGAAAACUCCGGUGGUUAUAGAUGGACAUGCGUUGUAUUAGCUAGUUGGUGAGGUAACGGCUCACCAAGGCAACGAUACAUAGGGGGACUGAGAGGUUAACCCCCCACACUGGUACUGAGACACGGACCAGACUCCUACGGGAGGCAGCAGUGAGGAAUAUUGGUCAAUGGACGCAAGUCUGAACCAGCCAUGCCGCGUGCAGGAAGACGGAUCUAUGAGUUGUAAACUGCUUUUGUACGAGGGUAAACUCACCUACGUGUAGGUGACUGAAAGUAUCGUACGAAUAAGGAUCGGCUAACUCCGUGCCAGCAGCCGCGGUAAUACGG